UGUUGACGAGGCGUCGCUGCGGUAGGAGUUGGGCGCGGUAGUGAGACGGAGCAGUGCUGACAAGGUGGCGCGAGGUGUAGUUGACCAUGGCACGGCGACUCAGGGACGCAACCAGAGAGCGGACGGCUCCAUGGUCAACACCCAAUCCUUCGGUCAAAACUUGCCUCUUUGUUGUGUGUAUCCACCUUUAGUAGUCUAAUGAUUGGGUUUCUUCUCAUCGAGUGUAGGUGAAUUUGUGGUUGCUUGAAUCCUGUUGCAUGUGUUUGCCCACUAGUACGUCUUGGACAAACGUAUUUAUUGCGAGCCAUGUGCGGUAUGCCGUGUAGCUGUCCGAGUCCGCCACGAUUUGGAAACUUUUUGAAAGAACGUGGAUGUCGCCUAGAGGAGGGUAAAUACGCGCUUUAAAAUAAUUACGGUUUAGGCUUAAACAAAUGCGGAAUAAAAC
rnacentral:lncRNA from 1 species